UACGGAAGGCAGCAGUGGGGAAUAUUGCACAAUGGGCGAAAGCCUGAUGCAGCUAUGCCGCGUGUAUGAAGAAGGCCUUAGGGUUGUAAAGUACUUUCAUCGGGGAGGAAAAAACAAAACUAAUAAUUUUAUUUCUUGACGUUACCCGAAAAAGAAGCACCGGCUAACUCCGUGCCAGCAGCCGCGGUAAUACGGAGGGUGCUAGCGUUAAUCAGAAUUACUGGGCGUAAAGAGCACGUAGGUGGUUUUUUUAAGUCAGAUGUGAAAUCCCUGGGCUUAACCUGGAACUGCAUUUUGAAACUGAAAUACUAGAGUAUCGUAGAGGGAGGUAGAAUUCUAGGUGUAGCGGUGAAAUGCGUAGAUAUCUGGAGGAAUACCUGUGGCGAAAGCGGCCUCCUAAACGAAUACUGACACUGAGGUGCGAAAGCGUGGGGAGCAAAACAGGGAUUAGAUACC
rnacentral:rRNA from 1 species